rnacentral:rRNA from 1 species
UACGUAGGGAGCGAGCGUUUGUCCGGAUUUAUUGGGCGUAAAGAGCGCGUAGGCGGCUCGGUAAGCCGGAUGUGAAACCUCCAAGCUCAACUUGGAGCGGCCAUUCGGAACUGCUGUGGCUAGAGUCUGGUAGGGGAACACGGAAUUCCUGGUGUAGCGGUGAAAUGCUUAGAUAUCAGGAGGAACACCAGUGGCGAAGGCGGUGUUCUGGGCCAGUACUGACGCUGAGGCACGAAAGCGUGGGGAGCAAAC